UUAUGAGGGCUGUAAAUUUUAUGAAUAUGGGUAACUAACUGACCUAUUUUCUGUCCUCAAAGGUCACUGUUGUUGGUAUCGGCACCGAGUGGGGAUUGUUGAUGGCUUGUAUUUCAAAAGAAAACGGAAGAAACUCCUGUGCACACGUAGAAAAUGUUUUAAAUGAGCUUACUAUUCGGUGUAUUAGCAUUUACAUAUAUUGUUAAACUUACGACAUGUCUCAAUCAGGUUUGCCUAAACGGAGUGGCUGAUUUUUAAUGGAAUUGUUGGAUUGUAUCUUGCUCUUUGUUGGCGAGAUAUAGUCGACCUCCCACAUGUCUGCUGCAAGAUUCUCGAUAGAGUUUCUUAUCUAAACUCUUUGUAGACCAGGAGGCAGAGUGCUUGUAUGAAGGUUCGAAUGGUAACUAGUGACAACCUCCAACCUACCAAAGCUAUUGUGCUGGAGUGCGGAAUAUUAACCUAUGGUACAUAAGCCACUGAACCUAUUAUCAUUGAAGGAAUAACUUUUCAUUCCUUGUCGGAUUCUGAAAGUGAAAAGAUGUCCGACAAAGAUCUCACAUUCAUAGUGGUGAUGGUCGCAGCAAAGAGAAUGAAAGAAGGAUGGGAUGAUGGAGGCAGCAUAGCUUUUGCAGUUAUUCUUUUGUUAUCGGGACAGGUAUUGUGAUUGUGUGUAGCAGUUAUGAACAGUAUCUUCUUUAUAUUUCACGUUUGCAGCAGAAAGUGACAACAAAAAGUCUGCAAUUUCAAAACAAGAACGAGGAAGAGAGAAACAUAUAUCAGGAGGUUGCUUUAUAUGGAGAGCAGUGAAGAUUACAUUAUAGCUUUGUUUAAUAGAAUGUGUAAAUUUUUUUAAUUAUGCGUUUUCUUCUUUCAAAAGUGUUUGUCCUUAAUUUCAUUGGCACACGAGUUCAUAUCUGUGGGCAUUGUUUUUAUCAGACCACCCAUAUGUCUGCUGCAAGAUUCUCAAUGGAGUUUUUUAUAAAAACAUUAUUUGCACAGGAUCCCUAUGGACCACGAAUGAGAGAUAUUUAGUUUAGUUGAGUCAGAUUGAUGGCGUGAAGGGGAUAAGACAAGGCGAGUUGCAACAUUGUGGUGGAUGAUGCCGGGCUCCUCAAUGUUGGUAAUAUGGUAACUGAUGGAUGCUAUUCCUUUUGUUCAUUUUUUCUUUGUAUGUUAUUGUUUUCUGUAGUAUAUACACAUUUUGCUGUAUAGAAAAUCUUGUGUAGGUUCCAGCGGAUGGGUUAUUAAUAUCAGGCCACUCGCUUGCCCUUGAUGAGUCUAGGAUCAAAAUUUCUGUGUCGGAGAGAUCAAUCAUUUGUUCUUCCAUUUUCCAUUAAAAUUUCCUUGGUUGCUUCCGAAGCAGGAGAAGACAGAUUCUGAGAAAAAUAUCUGAGAAAGAGAGAGAGAGAAAACUUCUCGUUGAAGAGAGUAUGCGUUUCCAAAAAUCCGAUCUCACGCCAAGCUCCUUUGCGAACUGAUGGUCAUCUUGAUGGUAAUUGUUUUUGGCUUCAUGCAAAAACUACAUGGAUGAAAGUGGUAAUGUGAGCUGUGACUGAAGACAAGGUUUGAACCUAAUACUUCAAAGUUUUAUUGCCAUCAGCCUUUCAAUUAGACCGCCACCCUUUGUUUUAUAAGGCUCGCAGCACAGCACUUUUUAGUAACGUGAAUCGAUCUAAUUUUUUGUCCAGUUAGUUGCCUAUUUGCAGGUUUCUUAUUUUAAAAGGCUAUUGAGGGCAUGGCUGCAAGAUAUUAACAAUGCGUAGCAUUAGCAUGAAAAAUCUAUGAGGUUGACUUCUAAAAGUCUGUAAUCCCAGAGGAUGAUCUUUGUUGGCAAGCUAUAGACAGUAUCCACUGAAAUAAAGUAUUUGCUAGCUAUAGUCGGUGGCUCGGUGUAAAGGUUCGAAUGGUUACUAGUGACAACCUCCAACCUGCCAAAGCUAUUGCGCUGGAGUGAAGAAUAUUAACCUAUGCAGUAAGUGAUCAGAGAUAGUCUGCAAUUUCAAAACCUGAACGAGGAAGGGAGAGACAUACAUCUGAAGAGGAGAGUAAUGCACAGGGGAUAAGAGGUGGUUGACGAAUUGAAAUUUCAAUAUAUGAAAUUGUGGUGGGUGAUGUCUUUCUCCCUACAUUGGUAAUCAGAUUAGUGAUAGAUGCUACUCCUUUUGCUAUUUUUUCUUGGUGUGUCAUAGUUUAUCUGCAACAUAUAUACAUUUUGCUAUUUGAAAAAUAUUGUGUAGAUUCCAACGGAUUAAUUAUUAUAUCAGGCCACUCGCUUGCUCUCGAUGAUUCUAGGAAAAAUGUAUGUUUGUGUUGCCAAUGAUAGUGAAGUCGGUGAUCUUCUUUUAAACUGAGUUGUGAUAAUCUGUGUCGGUAUAAAGGUGAAACAGCUAACAAAUACUUCGUUUCUGUAGGCUGUUUUAUAUGGAGAGUAGUAAAGAUUACAUUAUUUCGAAGAAUGUUUCAUGGCCAGCUUUCCUUUUAUGAUGUCGUGAAGUUACAGUGCUGAAUCUAAAGUCCGCAAAAACUCGGAGAAUUAUCCAAUUUCAGCUCACUGUUAAUGUUGUUGUUCUCAUCAUUAACAUUGUAGCGGUAGUUUCAAGUAGUGAUGUCCCACUCAAAGCUGUGCAUUUGCUUUGGGUGAAUCUCAUAGUGGACACUCUUGGAGCCUUGGUCUCUGUCACAGAACCACCCACUAAUCAACUCAUGCACUGUCCUCCAGUGGGCAGGAGUACAAGUCUAUGAAGUAUGAACUGCUGAUGAGAAUAUCGAAGCAAAAUCAGCUAAUCAGAAGUAACUUGAGGUGUGAUUCUUGUAACUUGGUGAGCGGAAGGUGUUCUUAUUGUGCUGAAGUGCCUGUCUCCAUUAUAGGUAUCUGGAUUCCGUGUUUCUGAUUACGGGUUUGUUUAGUGCAAAGCUUCCCACUU